GCUGAAAUACCGGUUCUCGUACGAUCACUAAAAUUAAGCAACGUCUAGCCUGGUCAGUACCUAGUUGGGUGGCCACAUGCGAAGACCAGGUGCUGUAAG